UGGUGAUUUUUUGGUUAUACCGAGAUCAAAGAUUUAUUAACUUGUUGUUUUUCGACAACAUCAUAGCGACAUUAACAAUAUCUUCAAACAUAACCGUUGUUCCCUUGAACACUUACAGUUUUGAGUAAGAAAAUCGCCAAAAACUAAGAUUCAUCAACGUCCAUGUUUAGCUUGUCACGUCACACUCAUUAUCAUCAGCUGUUGAGCACCUUGUCAAAGAAGUCGGCACAUGGAAAUCACAAUGGAAAGGAGGAUUUUGCAUACAUUUUGAGAAUUUGUAUUCACUGGUUUUUUUUACUGCUUCCAAGUGACUUGACAUGUAGGAAGUCUGCAUUAUCAUGAUUUUAAGAUGAAUGAGAAACAAUGGCUACUUCCAAUACAAUAGCACAUUUGAUAAAAUGAAUAAGACACAAGGACUGCACUUGUCAUUCUAAGGAAGAUCAACAAAUGGAACACAAACAAGGAUAUUAUUUUCAUAUUAGAUUCCUGUUCAUGAGAUAUAAAGAGAAAAUUAAUUUUCCUGAAAAGACUCUUUACUUAUACAUAUGUGUGACAAAAUGAAUGGGAUCAAGACUGUUUUAACUGUGCUUAAAGGAAUACAAAUAAGAAGUUUUAAUUGA